UACGUAGGGGGCUAGCGUUGUCCGGAAUCAUUGGGCGUAAAGAGCGUGUAGGCGGCCCGGUAAGUCCGCUGUGAAAGUCGGGGGCUCAACCCUCGAAUGCCGGUGGAUACUGUCGGGCUAGAGUGCGGAAGAGGCGAGUGGAAUUCCUGGUGUAGCGGUGAAAUGCGCAGAUAUCGGGAAGAACACCCGUGGCGAAGGCGGUUCUCUGGGACGGUACUGACGCUGAGACGCGAAAGCGUGGGGAGCAAACAGG
rnacentral:rRNA from 1 species